AACCCUCAGACACAGGUACAACAGUCAGGUCCAACCCUCAGACACAGGUACAACAGUCAGGUCCAGCCCUCAGAUACAGGUACAACAGUCAGGUCCAGCCCUCAGACACAGGUACAACAG